UACGUAGGGGGGCAAGCGUUUGUCCGGAUUUAUUGGGCGUAAAGCGCACGUAGGCGGCUUAGCAAGUCGGAAGUGAAAGCCCUCGGCUCAACCAAGGAAGUGCUUUCGAAACUGCUGAGCUUGAGUAGUUAAGAGGAUCGCGGAAUUCCCCGGUGUAGAGGUGAAAUUCGUAGAUAUUCGCAGGAACACCAGUGGCGAAGGCGGCUUACUGGUCCUAACUGACGCUGAGGUGCGAAAAGCGUGGGGGAGCAAACAGG
rnacentral:rRNA from 1 species